AUGAAGAAGGGCACCUUCCUAGCUGCAGGUGGGGGGCUUAGGGGUGGGGCAGGGCCUCCAAGGGAGAGGUUUUUGUAUGAGGCUGUGUCACAGUGUUUCGUGUUCGGCAGUGGGACCCAGGUGACCGUCCUAGGUCAGCCCAAGUCUGCACCCUCAGUCACUCUUUUUCCACCCUCCUCUGAGGAGCUCAGCAACAACAAGGCCACACUGGUGUGUCUGGCCAGUGACUUCUACCCUGGAGCCGUGACAGUGGCCUGGAAGGAGAAUGGCAGCCCUGUGUCCCAGGGUGUGGAGACCACCAAGCCCUCCAAACAGAGCAACAACAAGUAUGCGGCCAGCAGCUACCUGAGCAUGUCAGCCAGCAAGUGGAAAUCUGCCAGCCAGUUCAGCUGCCACGUGACGCACGAUGGCACCACUGUGGACAAGACAGUGGUCCCCUCAGAGUGUUCCUAGGACACUGAGCCCCCAUUUUCUGGGACUCUGCUCACCCACAAACCCCAUUCUCCAGUUCUCCACUGUACCCCUGGGACUCUAGCCCAGUUCUUUCCAGACUGGACUGGCCUCACUGUCUCCCCAUUUCCACAGUUUCUCAAUAAAGCCCUGGUCAUUUA